CUGCGUCCAGCAGGGCGUCACCUGCAGGGCGGGGGCUGUCACGGGCAGGCCUUGCCACCCCCGAGUGAGCCACAUGAGGCUGAAAUGACCACUGCCGUCUGCAUUCCCGAUGGUCCCCACCUCCAGACCCUGCGCCCCUGCCUCACCCCUGCCUGGCCCCACCGCACACUGGCCCAGCAGGUCAGCAGAAGGGACCCUGUGUGUGGAGGCCACCAAAGGCUGGGAUGGCCAUGGCCAUUUCAGAUCAGCCUGAGGAAGCGGUCACCACAAUUCCCUUUCCACUGAGCUAGCCAGAGGCCCAGGUCCUACCUGGGUUGGGCUGCAGGUAUUCGAUGGUUCUGACCAGCACUUCCGCCACAGCCUUGCUGGUGACAUCCACCUUCUGUAGAGAGCCAGCGUGUUAGAGCCAUUAGACGCCAAGGGGGAGCCAGACGUGGGCCCCUUUGUCCUCCAGCAGCCACAACCUCCCCAGUCAGUGUGGACCAUACCAAGGAGCCCUACCUUUUCCAUCUCUUUGAAGUCAUCAUCCAGCUUGGUCCCCUCGGCCCCGCCAACCUUCUCACUGACCAGCUGCCGGAGAGAGGAAGGAAGGCAUGUGAGGGCACAGGCUUAUGGGGACACCUGCUAUGUCUGCCUAGGAUGCAGCCUCUUGGGAUAGGCAGGCACAUGGUAUCUAGGCGAGCCCUGAAGGAGCCAGCAGAGCCCAUGGGUGUGCUGUGACCCAGCCCAGGAUCUAGCACUGGCUCUGGGGGGCCAGGUCCAGAGCCCUGUGGGAACCAUCCCACCUUUCACAGUUCUUGGGUUGACCCUGUCACUUUGCUCCAUGCCAGCUCAAGCCUUGUGUCCUACGUAAGUGGCUACGGCAGGCCUCGGGAGGCUCCUGUGUACUUGAGUCCUCAGUGCCCGCUACUGUGACAUUGACUGAUAAGGAAGCAGUCAGGAACCUUGAGAACCUGGACAAGAGUGGUCAGAGCUAGGCCCUGCCCAACCCUGGACCUGACAGCAUGGUGGAGAGCCCCAAGUAACCACUGCAGAGAGCCCUGAGUGCCCGUGUCACUAUCUGAAUGCCAAACAGUGUGUCACUCCUCUGGGGCAUAGGGCACCAGUCUGCCCACCACAGCCAUCGUCACUCAUCACACAAGCAGAGUGGCCAUUGCUUGGGUCACCCUCACAUGGGGUGUGACAGGUCCACUACAAGCUAUGGAGACAGAGGAACCAAAAGGCACUCUGUGGGGUACUUCCAGGGGCUUUUGCUCAGAGGCUAUGCAUGCACAGCUAUGUGCAGAAUGGCAGGCUGGCCUCUGGAAAGAAGGGCGCCAGUGAGGCUUUCCUAUACUAUGGCCUUGGCGCCCUGCCUCUGAGCCCUUGCCUGAUGUGAGCAAGGGUUUUGCAAAGGCUGUGUGGUGCCCCAUGCCACAGGUAGAGUAGCCUGAGAGGAAGUGACCAAAGACAUCAGGAAAUGGGGUACCUGUGUACACACCGGAAGUGAUCUCCCAACCCCAUGCUUUUGAGUAGUUUCCCACAGUGCUCUUAAGAAGGCUGCCUGGUAGGCAGGGGCGCUUCUGCAGCUCUCAGAGCCUCUUAGAGCUCCCCACCCAUGGAGAGGAUGGGGCUUGCGGGGAGAGACAGGCGAGUGGGGCCCUGGAGCUGUCUUCCCAGGUGAGGGCCCCCAGCUGCCUCCUUUGGGCAUUCCCAGGGAGCCAGAGCAGCCUUCAUGGCCGGUUUCGCUUCUCCAAGCUGAGCAGGAUGUCACCCACCACAAAGCCUGGCUCUUGUGGUAAAUGCAGAGAAGUGAAGCAGGAGCACAGCUUCCGGAGGACAGCACCUGGGUCUGGGGACCUGGUGCCUCAGGGAAGGCAGCAAGGCAGGAAGAGGGCAGCCCAGAGCACACCUGGCUGCUCUUUUAAUGGUCCUGUCUCCUGUGCCCUGUGAUCUGGGGGCCCAGCCUUCCCAAGGCUCAAGAGCUCCACGGGGGCCCCCAUGUGGGCACUACAUAUGCCACGAGCAAGCUGCAUGCUCCUGCUCUGGACCCCUUUGCAGAAGUACUACAAGUGCCCCCACAGCUCAGGGGCAGGCACUGGCACGGAGUAAAAGCGGGAAGCAGACAGCUCAUGCCACCUGCAGUCCAGAGCCAGAAGGUGAGGUGCAGCCUGUUUAUAAGCCUAUGGGGAUCCAGCACACCUCCCACAGAACAGUAGGGGUUACAUGGUGGCAUGCAGACACCUAGGUUCUUAGCAGAGAUGCCCCAGCAGGAUUGUGCUGGGAACCCUAGAGGACAUGACUAAAGGCAACGUGCACUAAGAUUGUUCCCACUCCUCUGGCCAGCCUGGUUCUGCAGAUUUGUCCUCUCUUAGAGCAGAGGGAGCCAGUGGCCAGACAUUUGCAUGGUCUGUCUGCCUAGCAUGGCCUCUGUUGACAGUGUUACUGUAUACCAGGCACCUGGGGUGGAGGACAAGCAAGAUGGGGUGACUGGCCUCCCAACGGGAUCACGGAGACCAGAGUGCUACUGGGUAGAGCCCCUGCUCCAAAGCAGGAGACCCCUGGCUCUACGCCAGCAUUGUCAAAUUCAGCAGACAGUGCUCUUUCAGAGCAUGGGGUAUGUGUAUGCAGUGACAUCAUGGCUACCUGGGGCAGAAGAACCAUAAGGGAGAUGACAGGGUAUGUGACAGAGAAGUUAGGCACAGAUCAUAGGAGCUGACGCCCUGCCUGACCUGGCAGCCACCCUUAAUCAUAUUCCUUUAUCAUAAAAAAAGGUGACUCGGUGGCCCUGGGAGGUUCACUGUGAGCAACAAAUAGUGGCACGAAAGGGGAGGGAGGGUGCCGGGUGCCUCCCCAGCCAGUCAUCCACAGGGUCAAAGUAGGGCCACGAUGCAGUACCACAGUGCGUGAGAACAACAGCACAGCGCGUGAGAACUCUCUACGGGCGGCCAUGCUGGCCAGGGAACAAAAGCACCCCUGCCCCACACACUACAGCUGCCAGCUCCCGCGGCUCCUCAGCAACCUGAGGGGCUAGACCUGUUCUGGGGCAGGCUGACACAGGUGGGGGUCCUCCUGAAGUGGGGCUGGGGUAGGAUCUAACAGUGUUGUCAGAGGCCCACCUGCCGAAGCUUGCCAGUGGCGGCACCACAACAGACACACCACCCACAAGACACUGCCACCACCCACAGGAGCCCAGGACGGGGGCGGGGGGAGGUUGGGGGGAGCACGAGCACAGACAGGGCAUGCAGGCAGCCUAGAGAGGCUGUGAGGUGUGCCAGUGCCAUGCCAGGCCCUGGGACCAUCAGUUCACAGAUGGGAGAGUGAGAGCAUGCAGGCCAGCCUCACAUCCUUGCUACAGGUAGACCCUGGCUAUGUCCCCACCCGAGGACCUCAAAGCUGGGGUUGCUUGAGCCCAGGGAGCUGCAGCAACACUUCUAUCGCAGUUACACCACAGUCGUUCCUGCUGAGCUGAGCUGUGGAGCCCCACACGCACAAGCCUGGCUUGCCCCAUGCCUGAAGUCUGGUUCCUGGUGGAGGGCCACUGAGGGCAGACAGGCGCAUUGAACAUCACACUGGACUCUGCACAGAGAGAGAACUGUUGACAGGAACCUGUCUCAAGCCAGGAGCCUCCAGUUCCCCAGCAUCACAGCAUGCAAGGCAGAUUCUGCAAGCUGCUCUGAGCUCCCUGCCUAUAUGCUAAUAUGGGAGGGAACAUGCAGGAAGGUGGCCAGCCACUGCCCGAUGAGUGUCCUGGUCCCUGGAGCUGGCAUGUCUUGGGGCCACACAGGCCUCUAUUGCUCCUAAGAACAUUAUCAGAAUGUGGAGUGAACAGGGUGUCAACAGGAACCUCACUGUGUCCAGGGAGGCACCACAGGCCCUCACCACACAUCACAGGCUCUUGUAAAUAUUUGGAAUUUA